rnacentral:misc_RNA from 1 species
UAACCCUCAAGCCUAGCUUGGUGUUGGAGCAUGCAGUUCUGCAGCUCUUAAAAUCAGUGGCAGUGCCCUCUGGCUCUAAGCGUAGUAAUAUCUCUCGCUACAGGGUCCAGCGGGAGCGCGCCAGAACCCCCAACUUUCUAU